rnacentral:rRNA from 1 species
CCUACGGGAGGCAGCAGUGAGGAAUAUUGGUCAAUGGACGAGAGUCUGAACCAGCCAAGUAGCGUGAAGGAUGACUGCGCUAUGGAUUGUAAACUUCUUUUGUAAAGGAAUAAAACGAGGCACGUGUGCCUUUUUGCGUGUACUUUAUGAAUAAGCAUCGGCUAACUCCGUGCCAGCAGCCGCGGUAAUACGGAGGAUCCGAGCGUUAUCCGGAUUUAUUGGGUUUAAAGGGAGCGUAGAUGGGUUGUUAAGUCAGUGGUAAAAGUUUGCGGCUCAACCGUAAAAUUGCCAUUGAGACUGGCAGUCGUGAGUAGAGUUGAGGUAGGCGGAAUGCGUGGUGUAGCGGUGAAAUGCUUAGAUAUCACGAAGAACCCCGAUUGCGAAGGCAGCUUACCAAACUGUGACUGACACUGAGGCUCGAAAGCGUGGGUAUCAAACAGGAUUAGAUACCCGUGUAGUC